CGCCUCUUGCCCAUAUAAGAGGUCCAGCCUGCCCAGUGACAAAGUUUAACGGCCGCGGUACCCUGACCGUGCGAAGGUAGCAUAAUCACUUGUUCUCUAAAUAGGGACUAGUAUCAACGGCACCACGAGGGCCAUACUGUCUCCUCUCCUUAAUCUAUGAAACUAAUCCCCCCGUGAAGAAGCGGGGAUAAGAAUAUAAGACGAGAAGUCCCCAUGGAGCUUUAAAUUCAACAGGCACUUUACACAAACAGCCCACAUAGCCCCUAAAUUCUGCCUGUUAAUUUUAGGUUGGGGUGACCGCGGAGCAUAAAUCAACCUCCACAACGAACAAGGCAUCAACCUUUAUCCCAGAGCCACAACUCCCAGAAUCAAAAAAUUGACGUAAAAUGACCCGAUAUUCGACUAAUGAAACAAGUUACCCUGGGGAUAACAGCGCAAUCUACUUUGAGAGCCCAUAUUGACAAGUAGGCUUACGACCUCGAUGUUGGAUCGGGGUAUCCCGGCGGUGCAGCCGCUGCCAAAGGUUCGUUUGUUCAACGAUUAAAACCCC
rnacentral:rRNA from 1 species